CAGUCGCCGCGGUAAUACGUAGGUGGCAAGCGUUAUCCGGAAUUAUUGGGCGUAAAGCGCGCGCAGGUGGUUUCUUAAGUCUGAUGUGAAAGCCCACGGCUCAACCGUGGAGGGUCAUUGGAAACUGGGAGACUUGAGUGCAGAAGAGGAAAGUGGAAUUCCAUGUGUAGCGGUGAAAUGCGUAGAGAUAUGGAGGAACACCAGUGGCGAAGGCGACUUUCUGGUCUGUAACUGACACUGAGGCGCGAAAGCGUGGGGAGCAAACAGGAUUAGAUACCCCUGUAGUCCCUGUCUCUUAUAC
rnacentral:rRNA from 1 species